AAAAAAAACCUUGAAAAGGAAGGGCGUUUGCGUCGUGGACCCCAUACUGGAGGUCAUUGUAUCUGCUCACAGUGCCGGCGGCAUGUGCCUGUUUAGGAUAGCGAUUUCUGUUCUCGAUGCAGGCGCCCGAGAAUAUGUGUGUUCCAAGUUUGUCUUGAUUCUGUAGCCCGCGAUGCCGCUUACCUGUAUUAUACGUGCGGUCACGUGCAAUCUUGUUUCUCCUGAACGACCGCCUCCUUGUCUCGGUUCGGAUAACAGACAAGAGGCAACGCGCAAAUGUCAAGUGGAACAGCUUCAAAACGAAGGCUCUCUUCAGACGUGGCGUUUCCUGGGAAUCCACUUCCUUUGUCAUCUGGGUUGUUUCGCCUGUCGUUGUAGGAAGGCAGCGUGUUACUGUGCAUUUUGUGUCCUCCCGGAGUGGGAUGCGUCGCGCACACGUCCGGCUAAAUACUGAGUUUGUUCACUUGAAGCGGUUUUUAUGACGGUGGCCGCAUUCUGUCAUCUUUCGUGUGAGAAAGGCCCCCAUUUUGAGGCCGCACUAUCUCUCACAGCGAAACAUCCGUCUCUUAAAAAAAACGGAGGGUCGUUCGCAAGGCAGUUCCCUCCCACUUCGACAUUAAACAAUGUAGGCCCUCGAAUGAAACGGGCUCGUUCACUAGUUCGCACACAGUGGCGAAGAAGAAAAUUUUUGUCCUGCUCAACCCCCGGCUUUGUGUAUUUCAGUGCAAGGGGCUUCUACAUGGGGGAUAAGGGGUACAUUUCCCUAUAUCCCAAUGUUGCGUCUGUAUCUCGCAUCGUUGUGUAUCAAGAAAGCAUGCUUGAAUGCAUCUUUGUUAUAUAUGCACGCUUCUGUCAUUUCAUGAUGCCACGUGCGGAGCCAAUGGUUUGCCCUCUAAUAGCUUACGCCUCCUCAUACACAGGAGAUCGUGGAGCGUAGUUAAGAAUGUGAUGAUAUAGGCGUGUUCUCUGGUUCAUCAGCCGUUUAUACUCCGUUCCCUUCUUUCGGUGACGCGCCGCGCUACGGUGUACAGCAGUUGCAUCCAUUCCAACGACCUCGAGCGGUCGCGUCAACCAUACUUCCUAGUGUUAUCAGACAGUUGUGGUCAAACUCUGCGAAUGCCGACAACAGUCACGACACAGCUCGGGUUUAGAAACAUUUUCUUCAAAACCCGCCUCCUCGCUGUUCCGUGUGCGGCUCUCCAUGUUUGGGCUCCCUAGCCCACUACCCGGCAC
rnacentral:lncRNA from 1 species